UACGAAGGGGGCUAGCGUUGUUCGGAAUCACUGGGCGUAAAGCGCACGUAGGCGGUCCGUUAAGUCGGAUGUGAAAGCCCCCGGCUCAACCGGGGAAGUGCAUCCGAAACUGGCGGGCUAGAGUACGAAAGAGGGUCGCGGAAUUCCCGGUGUAGAGGUGAAAUUCGUAGAUAUCGGGAGGAACACCGGUGGCGAAGGCGGCGACCUGGGUCGAUACUGACGCUGAGGUGCGAAAGCGUGGGGAGCAAACAGG
rnacentral:rRNA from 1 species